UACGGAAGGUGCAAGCGUUGUUCGGAGUGACUGGGCGUAAAGGGUGCGUAGGCUGGAAGAUAAGAAGAUUGUGAAAACCCCGGGCUUAACCUGGGACGUGCAGUUUUGACUGUCUUUCUUGAAUGUCUGAGAGGUUAGUGGAAUUGCAGGUGUAGGAGUGAAAUCCGUAGAUAUCUGCAGGAACACCGGAGGCGAAGGCGGCUAACUGGUGGAGCAUUGACGCUGAGGCGCGAAAGCGCGGGUAGCAAACAGG
rnacentral:rRNA from 1 species